CUCGCUGAUGAAGACAGCUCCAUCCCCUUCCCAAGGCUGCCACUCAAGCUGUCACCAAGGCCAGCCUAUUCGGAGAGCAGUCCUGCUAUAAGAUUCCCCCCCGAGCUGCCUGGGGUUCGCCCACGCACACAAGGAGGCUGAGGCUCACAGCUCCCUCUCCCCGGGUGUCGGCUGGAGGGGGGCUGUGCAGGAUUUUGGGAAGGAAGGGGUCGAUCUUGUUUCUAGGCGCCCAGAGUCCCCUUCUUCGUGAACUGAGAGGGGCUGGGUGUUGAAGGUGCUUCAGCUUUUGGGGGCAACAAGGAACAAUAUGAGAUGGACACAGACCAGCCUGGUGGGGCUGGAAACGAGCUGAGCUUUCAGCCCUGCAUCCAUCGGGGCAACAUCCUUGACUCUUUCAUAUUUCUUCGCUAUCUGGCUCUGCUCUGUCUGCUAAGAUAAAAAUAAAAUAACCUUUGAGAAGGAGCCACGACUGGCCAAGUUUCUUCUGCCAGCUGUCCCUAUAACAAUCAUCAUCCCUGGAAUUUAACUAGCGCCUUUCCAUGGGAAAUCAAAGCCCUUCAUAAAGGAAACUGGCCGCCAGGCAGCACAAGAAGACGGAGCAAGACAGGCGAGGCCAUUUUGAUUGUGGUGGUUGCCUUGGCAACAGAAGAAGGCCAAGGUCUCUGUGCAGAGAACGGCAGCAUGUUCUUCCCUGGGUCCC